rnacentral:tRNA from 1 species
GGAGAGUUGGCAGAGUGGUCGAAUGCGGCAGUCUUGAAAACUGUGGGGUCACACCUCCGGGGGUUCGAAUCCCUCACUCUCCG